AACGAACGCUGGCGGCAGGCCUUUAAAUGCAAGUCGAGCGCACCUUCGGGUGAGCGGCGGACGGGUUAGUAACGCGUGGGAACGUGCCCUUCUCCACGGAAUAGCCUCUGGAAACGGAGAGUAAUACCGUAUACGCCCUUUGGGGGAAAGAUUUAUCGGAGAAGGAUCGGCCCGCGUUAGAUUAGGUAGUUGGUGGGGUAACGGCCUACCAAGCCUACGAUCUAUAGCUGGUUUUAGAGGAUGAUCAGCAACACUGGGACUGAGACACGGCCCAGACUCCUACGGGAGGCAGCAGUGGGGAAUCUUAGACAAUGGGGGCAACCCUGAUCUAGCCAUGCCGCGUGAGUGAUGAAGGCCUUAGGGUCGUAAAGCUCUUUCGCCUGUGAUGAUAAUGACAGUAGCAGGUAAAGAAACCCCGGCUAACUCCGUG
rnacentral:rRNA from 1 species